GUCGAAAGGGGUCUACAGCUAGAUCAAAACAGUGUUGAUAAGUUGUUAAAUGGCAACCCACUCCAGUACUCAUGCCUGGAAAAUUCCAUGGACGGAGAAGCCUGGUGGGCUACAGUCCAUGGAGUCGCAAAGAGUCGGACACGACUGAGCGACUUCACUUUCACUUUUCACUUUAUACUCCUCUCAUGAAUGUACAAUGGAUUUUUCCAGAGGAUGUGUCCUGUGAUAGCGCAAUGGAUUGAAAGCAGGAGCAACGAGAAUCCAGGUGUCUUUCAUUAAGCUAGAUAUUUGCAAAAAUAUUUCUUGCAUAAGCCCUGGAGAUGUUAUUUCCAACCAACAAUGCUGACUUCACAGGAAGACUGUGGGAUGAGAAGCAUAAAGGAAAAGCAAGAAGCAACAUCAACUGUCUACCUUCCACUCCUCUUUCUCCUGACUUCGGGACAAGGGACACCCUGAGAUUGGGACCUAUUUUCUAGGUGGAAAUCUCUUACCCAAAGUCACUGUUCCUUCUGGAUCAGAGUGUAGAACUCGGGUCUCUAUCUCCUGUUUCUAGGAAAGCCCAAGGACAGAGCUGCUCAUGAGGCCAUGUGCUGAUGAUACAUAUGAGAAGUUCCGGGGUCCAAUAAGGAUCCCUUCCAUGCCUGACCUUCCAAUCUUGCCCCUAAACUAGAACCAGGUUCCUACUGCCCAUCUCUUCCAUGUUUGUAAACAGGACUAUUCUACCCUAGGAGCUGAGUUCAGCUGGGGAGGGCUUUCUUUUGG
ensembl:lncRNA